CCAGAAAGGAAUUACAAACAGUCAGUCUACAUGCUGAUUCUUCGUUCAACCAUGGUUGUUGGCUUUGAUGCAGCUAACUUCAGUUCACUAUUUCUUAAGGGACUUACGCGAUAAGAAAGAAAAGAGAAAAAGAGAAGGAAAAGUGGAGGAAUGAAAGGUUGCAUUAUACUACUGAUUAAAGGAGCCAUCUAUUCACAGAGUGGUAGAAGGAGCUGUUUGACUUUUUUGGGGGUGACAUCAUCAUAAGGUACUGUUUGGGCUACCAGAACUGGACUGCAAAAUUUCAGACAGAAAAGGCAGAGAAAGGAUCUUGAAAGAGUACCAAGAUGUUUCAGGUGGAAUCUGAGAAUUGCAAAUGAUAAAGAUGCCAGUUGAUCAGCAAACUCUGGCAACUUCAUGUUAAUCACAAGCCUCAUGGCAGUUUACAUCUCUGGAUUGAGAACCAGGCCACGCUGUUUCCUUACCUAAGUCAAUGGCUAGGAAGGAUUAAUUUUCAUAGUUGACGCUAAGAGCUCAGAGACAGUGGAUGCAGAGAUUACAAAGACACAACCUGCAAUUUCCCCAGUUUUGCCCCUUCUGUCUGAUUGCACAGGCCCUUUGAUAAAAGCCCCAUUUUCCUGCAAA